UACGAAGGGGGCUAGCGUUGCUCGGAAUCACUGGGCGUAAAGGGUGCGUAGGCGGGUCUUUAAGUCAGGGGUGAAAUCCUGGAGCUCAACUCCAGAACUGCCUUUGAUACUGAAGAUCUUGAGUCCGGGAGAGGUGAGUGGAACUGCGAGUGUAGAGGUGAAAUUCGUAGAUAUUCGCAAGAACACCAGUGGCGAAGGCGGCUCACUGGCCCGGUACUGACGCUGAGGCACGAAAGCGUGGGGAGCAAACAGA
rnacentral:rRNA from 1 species